rnacentral:rRNA from 1 species
CCUACGGGAGGCAGCAGUGGGGAAUAUUGGACAAUGGGCGAAAGCCUGAUCCAGCCAUGCCGCGUGUGUGAAGAAGGCCUUCGGGUUGUAAAGCACUUUCAGUGGGGAAGAAAGCCUUGGGGCUAAUACCCUCGAGGAAGGACAUCACCCACAGAAGAAGCACCGGCUAACUCCGUGCCAGCAGCCGCGGUAAUACGGAGGGUGCGAGCGUUAAUCGGAAUUACUGGGCGUAAAGCGCGCGUAGGCGGUCUGAUAAGCCGGUUGUGAAAGCCCCGGGCUCAACCUGGGAACGGCAUCCGGAACUGUCAGGCUAGAGUGCAAGAGAGGAAGGUAGAAUUCCCGGUGUAGCGGUGAAAUGCGUAGAGAUCGGGAGGAAUACCAGUGGCGAAGGCGGCCUUCUGGACUGACACUGACGCUGAGGUGCGAAAGCGUGGGUAGCAAACAGGAUUAGAUACCCGGGUAGUC